CAGCCUUCUAUCCUAAAUAAUCCAAUGGCCCAUAUUAAUUCUCACAUCCAUAUAAAAUCCUAAUUUUAACCAAACCCCAAACCUAAUCCCAAACCAAACCAGUCGCCACCCCCAUGUCUGCCGCGACCAGCAGCCCUAAACCCACUGGAAAAUCAAUUUUCCGGUGUUCCAUGUAAGCCCUGGUCCCCUCAUGGUCCCUCUCUACUCUCAUCUCCUUCUUCCAUGUGUUCCUAAUUAUGAAGAACGCAUUUUUCUUUCUUUCUCGUUCGAUUUGGAAUCAAAUCCGAGCCCUUGAAAUAAAUUUUGAAAAAUGAGAGUCGUUGGAUUCAUUUUUUAUCCAAGAUUUCCAUUUUUCGAUUUUGGUUAAAAUAUGAUUUUUCGGAUUUGUUUUGGGGGUCCACGCAAAUUCGAUUCUUGGGGAGGAAGCAUAGAAGCUUCUAGGGCUUCAUAUAUAUAUAUAUAUAUAUAUAUAUAUAUAUAUAUGAGAAGCAUUUGAGGCUGGAUGGGGGAGAGGUUUCUUUUUCGGACAGAAAUUAGAGAGGAAAGGAGGUAAACAUUAGGGUUCUAUUGGGGAGUUUCUUCUUCUUUUCUCAUUUUGGAUCCAUUUUUAGUCGAGUACAAAUUUCAGAAAAACAAAAAAAAUAUACAAAAAAAUAGUUCGGGUUUCAUUGUGUUCGAGUCCAAGUUUCAUUUUCAAAAUAAUUAGAAAAGUUUCGAAAAAAGAGACAUUUGGUUCCUCUUUUGGUUUUGGUUUUCAACUAAGGCUGGAAGUGGCCCGGUUCGGAACCUAAACCGGACAGGAACUGCGGUUCUGGCGGUUCCGGUUCCGCGGUUCCGGGUCUGGCGGUUCCCCGGAACCGUGAUGGAGCGGUUCCACCCGCUAGAACCGUGGAAUUGGAACCGCCAGAACCGGAACCGGAACCGGAACCGGAACCGGAACCGGAUCGGUUCAGGCGGUUCCAUCCGGUUCCAAACGGUUCCGGUUCGUUUGAAAUUUAAAAAAAAAAUAUUUUUUCUUAAAAUUCGGACCGUUGCGGAACCGUUUGGACCCGUAUGGAACGGGCCGGUUCCAACCGGUUCCCAACGGUCCGGAUUUUAAUUUUUUUUUUAAAUUUCAAACGGCUCUUUUUCAAAAUUAGCCGUUUGGAAUUUUAAAAAAUAGCCAUUUAACCCCCCAAACUUUAAUUUAACCCCAAACUUUAUAUAAUUACACAAUUNNN
rnacentral:lncRNA from 1 species